rnacentral:misc_RNA from 1 species
AAAGGGAGGAUCCUCCAACCAGACGGGUAUUGUGUCUGGCGGGCUAACGCCCCCAACGGUUGUUGUCGGGAUCUUGUAUAUAUACUUAUUCACUUUGAAAACUCUGAUAGCGCGAUGUAGCAUACGUCAGUUUUUCUCUAAUUACGUAGUUUGUAGUCGUUCGUAUUUCGCGCGAUAGAUGUCGCUACAUCACUCCCCUCCGAGACCGGAGGUCGAUAGCAGGUUGAGUCGUCCAUAGAUCUUCUGAUGCUUGCCGGGCCAGUGAUGUUCCAGUGAGUCGGAACCAGAUGCCGCAUAGUUCACGGUGAGUCGGAACUGUCUGCGGUGAUGCUGCAUAUGCUCCAGUGAGUCGGAGUGGUGCAGUGCUGCGUAGUGGCUACUGCUGCGUCGACCAGGAGAGAAGUGCGUCUCUGCUUUGUGACCGGCCGAAGUGCAGUCUGCUGUGCCAAAGUCGCUGAGAAGGCUGUGGGCGAUGACCAGGAAUGCGCGUCCGCUGCAUGCUGGUGGUCAGGAUACCCGUAGUAGCCGUAGAUGCUGGCUGGCUGAAACCGUAGAUGCUGGAUGCUACUCGCUGCUCGAAAGCUUGAGGAAGUGAUGA